UAGGGAAUAUUGGUAAUGUGCGAAAGCCUGAACCAGCAACGCCGCGUGUGCGAUGAAGGCCUUCGGGUUGUAAAGCACUUUUUGAGGGGAUGAGGAAGGACAGUACCCUCAGAAUAAGUCUCGGCUAACUACGUGCCAGCAGCCGCGGUAACACGUAGGAGACUAGCGUUAUCCGGAUUUACUUGGCGCAAACCGCGUGCAGGUGGCUUGGAAAGUACGAUAUGAAAGCUCCCGGCUUAACUGGGAGAGGUCGUUGAAUACUUUCGGGCUAGAGGGUGGGAGAGGGAGGCGGAAUUCCGGGUGUAGUGGUGAAAUGCGUAGAUAUCCGGAGGAACACCAGUGGCGAAAGCGGCCUCCUGGCCCAUUUCUGACACUCAGACGCGAAAGCUAGGGUAGCAAACGG
rnacentral:rRNA from 1 species